rnacentral:rRNA from 1 species
AUUGAACGCUGGCGGCAUGCCUAACACAUGCAAGUCGAGCGGCAACGGGACAGUAGCCUGCUACUUUUGCCGGCCAGGGGCGGACGGCUGCGUAAUGCGCGGGGAUCUGGCCAGUCGAGGGGGGUAACUACAGGAAACAGUAGCUAAUACCGCAUACGGCCUACGGGGGACAGCAGGGGACCUUCGGGCCUUGCCGGCUGGGGGGAACCCAGGUGGGAUGAGGUAGUUGGUGAGGUAACGGCUCACCAAGGCGACGAUCUCUAGCUGGUCUGAGAGGAUGACCAGCCACACUGGAACUGAGACACGGCCCAGACUCCUACGGGAGGCAGCAGUGGGGAAUAUUGCACAAUGGGGGAAACCCUGAUGCAGCCAUGCCGCGUGUGUGAAGAAGGCCUUCGGGUUGUAAAGCACUUUCAGCGAGGAGGAAAGGUUGGUAGCUAAUAACUGCCAGCUGUGACGUUACUCGCAGAAGAAGCACCGGCUAACUCCGUGCCAGCAGCCGCCGUAAAAC